rnacentral:rRNA from 1 species
GCCCCUAAUUCGUGGCUAAGUGGGAAAGCAUGUGGGACGGCCAAAACAACCAGGAUGUUGGCUUAGAAGCAGCCAUCAUUUAAAGAUAGCGUAACAGCUCACUGGUCUAGAUAAGCUGUCCUGCGGCGAAGAUGUAACGGGGCUCAAGCCACGAGCCGAAGCUCAGGAUGCACAGCGAUGUGCGUGGUAGCGGAGCGUUCUGUGAUAUAGCUCAUCAUGUCUUAUCUGCAGCGAUGCGGAGACGGACAUGGAGAGCUUUCUGUGAAGCCGGGCUGUAAGGCAUCCGGUGGAGAGAUCAGAAGCGAGAAUGUUGACAUGAGUAGCGACAAACAGGGUGAGAAACCCUGUCGCCGAAAGUCCAAGGGUUCCUGCUUAAAGCUAAUCUGAGCAGGGUAAGCCGGCCCCUAAGGCGAGGCCGAAAGGCGUAGUCGAUGGGAACCAGGUUAAUAUUCCUGGGCCAGUGGGAUGUGACGGAUCGCAGAUGUAGUUUGCCCUUAUCGGAUUGGGUGGGCUGCUGAGCGGUUCCUGGAAAUAGCCCCACAUCAGACCGUACCCUAAACCGACACAGGUGGACUGGUAGAGUAUACCAAGGCGCUUGAGAGAACCACGUUAAAGGAACUCGGCAAAAUGCCUCCGUAAGUUCGCGAGAAGGAGGCCCCAUAUGUGCGCAAGCAUGUGUGGGGGGCACAAACUAGGGGGUGGCGACUGUUUACUUAAAACACAGGGCUGUGCGAAGCCGUAAGGCGACGUAUACAGUCUGACGCCUGCCCGGUGCUGGAAGAUUAAGAGGAGGGGUGCAAGCUCUGAAUUGAAGUCCCAGUAAACGGCGGCCGUAACUAUAACGGUCCUAAGGUAGCGAAAUUCCUUGUCGGGUAAGUUCCGACCUGCACGAAUGGCGUAACGAUCUCCCCGCUGUCUCUAACGUGGACUCAGCGAAAUUGAACUGUGUGUCAAGAUGCACACUACCCGCGGUUAGACGGAAAGACCCCAUGAACCUUUACUCCAGCUUUGCAUUGGCAACAGGAUUGUGAUGUGCAGGAUAGGUGGUAGGCAUUGAAGCGGGGACGCCAGUCUUCGUGGAGCCUCCCUUGAGAUACCACCCUUCGCCAUCUUGAUAUCUAACCGCGGCCCGUUAUCCGGGUCCGGGACCCUGCAUGGUGGGGAGUUUGACUGGGGCGGUCGCCUCCCAAACAGUAACGGAGGCGCGCGAAGGUUGGC